rfam:Lingula anatina scaffold487, whole genome shotgun sequence.
AAAACGGUCCUUUUCAGGACCACCAAAUAUUCAAGAAAAGCUAUA